AGGCAUUUUCGGUGGCCAG
rnacentral:miRNA from 1 species